rfam:Triticum aestivum genome assembly, contig: Triticum_aestivum_CS42_TGACv1_scaffold_342562_4DL
CAUGUACUCCCUCCGUCCCAAAAUUCUUGUCUUAGAGUUGUCUAGAUACGGAUGUAUCUAACACUAAAACGUAACUAGGUACAUCCGUAUUUAGACAAAUCUAAGACAAGAAUUUUUGGAUGGAGGGAGUAUCAC